rnacentral:tRNA from 1 species
UGCGGGAUCGUCUAAUGGUAGGACACAUUCCUCUGAAGAAUGAUAUCUUGGUUCGAAUCCAAGUCCCGCAGCCG